rnacentral:rRNA from 1 species
UACGUAGGGUGCAAGCGUUGUCCGGAAUCAUUGGGCGUAAAGCGCGCGUAGGCGGCCUUGUAAGUCCGUUGUGAAAGUCAAAGGCUCAACCUUUGAAAGCCGAUGGAUACUGCGAGGCUAGAGUUCGGAAGAGGCGAGUGGAAUUCCUGGUGUAGCGGUGGAAUGCGCAGAUAUCAGGAGGAACACCGGUGGCGAAGGCGGGUCUCUGGGCCGUAACUGACGCUGAGGAGCGAAAGCAUGGGGAGCGAACAGG